AUGUCCCCAGUGAAGCAGUCUGUAUCCCCGAUGGAUAACACUGUCGUUAUCAAUGAAGAGGCUGUAAAGCCCAUCCUGAACAGGCAUUUUGAUCAAAUCUCUGAAGCACAGUGGAGCCUGUUAGCUGAUGGGACUUGUGACCCAGGAGUGGACACAAUACUGACCAAUAUGAUUUGUGAAAUCAUACAGACGCUCUCUGCAUCGGCCUUGAGCAUAGUCUUACCGAUGUUUCAGGAGCGUUUACGGAGGAAUGAUUCGCAGGCUGAUAUAAGUUCAGCUUUGGAAAACCUCAACACGCAGAUGGAAAACUCCCUUUCUGGUACUUUUGCUGAAGUUCUUCACAUCUUACCGGAAAACUCUGAGAGUGCAGAAAAGCUGACAGAGCUGGUCGAGGAGGAAGUUUUACAGAAGGUAACGUCUGCUGUAUCUCUGGCCAUCAACAGCCCUACUUGGCAGGAAGGGUCUGCCAUUUUUGUCCCUGGCUCCAUGUCCAGCACACCGUCUCUUAGUCAAAUGGUGAGUCAUGCUAGCAUAUGUCUGAAAAGCUAUAUGAGUCAGCUGAAGUCCAGUUGCCUAUGCUGUUUGUGGGCAAAAAGUCCUGAGUCCAAAACACCGACCCCAGAACCAGAGAUUUGUGAAUCGUCUCAGAGCACGAAAUCCAAGAUUUCCGCUCCCUCAGCGAGAAGUGAAUCCUCUCAGAGCACAGAAUCCAAGAUCUCUGUUCCCUCAGUGACAUGUGAAUCGUCUAAGAGCACAAAAUCAAAGGUCUCUGUCCUCUCCGUGACUCAAGCAGUGGCUGGAAUCCUUGAAAAAUGGUCCACUGAGACACCGGAUAUGACAGAAGAGGCUGACUCUGCUCUCCAGCCUCCCAGCCCCUCUUUGGAUGCUUGUGAUGCAGCGCUUGAAAUUGUCAGCAUUAUAAGUAAUAACCUCCAUCAUGUGGAUGGUGGAGAUGAUGGAUGCAAUGAGAAGAGUAGCUCAUCCAAACAUCAUUUCAGUUUGAAGUUAAUACUUAAAAAUGUGAAAGACUUUUUUACCUCACGGGCUGCACUUUCAAAGAACACCACAAGCGAAAACCGAAAGGGGCACAAAAGAAGGUUUUUUAAGUUUGCAGUGAAACAGUUCAAGAAAAUGACAACAGAGCUGAAAACAUUGCUCCAGAAAGAAGACCCUGACUUUAUCGUGCCUCUCAGUCAGAAUGCAGGGUCCUCUCAGCCGACAGUGAAAAGAGAAGACGGCUCUGAUGUUCCAGAGUCUCCAAGACUCAGAUCUGAGGUUUGCGUUCAGCCCAGGGGGACGCCAUUCAUCAGUGUCGCACAGAAGCUUUCCUCCUUACUAGAGCUUGAUUGGAUCAAAUUUGCUUUUGAGAACUUGUUCAAUAUUUUAUACCUGCCCAAGAAAUCUGGACCGCAUGCCAAGAAAAACCUGACAAGGUUGGCCAGGCAGAUUUCAAAAGACUUGACUAAAGAAUUAUAUGGUCAUCUCACGGCUAUUGGCACAGAACAACUUCCCUUAAAACAACUGAAAGGAAGUUUAUCUGACCCUGUCAUCAUUCGUCUUGGGGAGAGGGCGAGCCCGACCCGGUUGGGCUCUUCUCUUGAAAGUAAGCAUGUCAUGAUACAGGAUUCAGUGGGAAAGUUCUUGCAGCAGAUGUAUGUCUGGUCGGAGAAGGAGCAAUCACACCAGACAAGUCAGAGUGAGAAAGUUUCUGGUGCGCUUAGUGACAUUGAAGACCUAAUCCAAAAAGUAGUGACCCCAACAGAGGAAAAAGCCAGCGACAGUGAGACUACAGCACCCUAUUGUUCAACUCCCGUCUUACCUUUCAAAGAUUACUGCAAUGACGAUGACAAGGAGUUGAACAUGAUGACUGAUGAUUGUCUGAUCUUGGAGGAGAACAAUUUCAGAGCGGUUUUAGGAAACAUACCUCCUAAAGUCACUCCUGAGAGUAGACUGGUGUUUUCCCCCAGUCCUUCAGUGUCUCAAAACAACGACGUUACUAGCGCUAACAAGUCAGUUGGGGGAUCAGAGUCAUCUGACACCUCAUCUUGUAUAUCAGAGAGAACAGCCAACAGCAUCAUCACGGCUCUGCUCAUGAGACUCAUCAUGUCUGCCCCUCGGAAAACCAGAAGGUUCACGAAGGCAGCAGACAUCGACAAGAUCAUUCAGCGUCUCUCAGAAGUGGCGCGAGGUAACAUCGAUAUCUCUGACUCGGACAUCAGAAAAACUAGAAACCACAUGACAAAUAUCAACAAAGCAGUGAUCAGGGACCUUACGAGGGAGUUUGGCUCUUCUGAACGGCUACUGGAGGCUUCAAUGGCAACAAACAAUUCAUCUUUUGAUGAAGCUGUCAUUAAGUACCUGAAAAUCCAUCUGGAUGAACUCUACAGACCAAAAAGGUCUGCAGUUGCCAGGUUCUUUAUAAGGCUGGGAAAAGCUUUAACCAAACCCUUUAGGUGUUGCACCACUGACUGCAGUGAAGACUAA
ensembl:lncRNA